UCCCGAGUAACGAUAAAGAGCCGGGCAGACAAGCCCCAAUCAAUUAAAUUUAGGAGUCCGUAAUGGCAACUGGUACCGUCAAGUGGUUCAAUGAUGCAAAAGGUUUUGGUUUUAUCACCCCCGAUGAAGGCGGCGAAGAUCUGUUCGCUCACUUCUCGGCUAUUCAGUCGAACGGCUUCAAGUCGCUGAAGGAAAACCAACGCGUUUCCUUCGAAGUGACCACUGGCCCGAAGGGCAAGCAAGCUUCGAACAUCCAGCCUGUUGCCUAAGCAUCAGCUGAUAUAAAAAAAUCCCCGAUUCGUCGGGGAUUUUUUU
rnacentral:other from 1 species